rnacentral:tRNA from 1 species
GCCUGGGUGGCUCAGUCAGUUGAGCACCUGACUUCAGCUCAGGUCAUGAUCUCAUGGUUCGUGGGUUCGAGCCCCGCGUCGGGCU